rnacentral:misc_RNA from 1 species
CAGUAGUCAUCCGGGUUGCCGCAAGGCCUCCCGGGUAACCUACCACCCUUUGUUUAUUACACUUUGUUGCUUUGGCAGGCCUGCCCUCGGGCUGCUGGCUCCGGCCGGCGAGCGCCUGCCAGAGGACCUAAACUCUGUUUGUCUAUAUUGUCUGAGAACUAUAUAAUAGUUA